AAAAAAACACACAAUAAUUGUGGAGCACACCAGUCGUGUGUGAGCUGCUAUAAGACGCGUGUUCAAACCUCAGCACAGCCAGACGACGCGAAUUCUAAACAUGUGGACCCAGAAAUUCGUGACUUUUUCCUUCAUCCUGACAUUAUAUAUGGCCACGGCGUCAUCUCAGGACGCUGGAUUCAAAUGCAAGGCAGCGGGCUUCUUUGCCGACCCCACGGACUGCCACAGAUUCUAUAACUGUGACGACGACCUAGACGCAAUUAGCGGUACCUGCACCGCCUACGCACACUUCGAUCCAGUGGACACGUGUGUCUGGGGAGACUGUACCAACCCCGUUAUCAUCACACCUUCCCCCGCGGCUCAGUUCAAAUGCACCACUUCGGGAUAUUUCGCCGAUCCAAAUAAUUGCCGCGGAUUCUACCAAUGUAGCCUCGCCCUCGUGGCUACACAUGGUAUCUGUAUGGGGGGUGUUGGAUUUUUCAACAACGAAACUCUAGGAUGUGAGAUGGGGACAUGUUAACAUCUUCCACGCUACGGACGAUAUAACUCGAAUUCUAGGCUCUUCUCUUCUGUUCUUCUGAACAACUUUUAAUUACGACUGAUGUAGUGAAUAUAAAUUUCUUUGCAGCUAAAAUAACUAUUUGUGGGUUUUAAUACAUAUAUAUAUAUAUAUAUGCCUAGCUAAUUAAGUUCCUUUGCGAUGUGGAAAUAAAAUCAAUUAUGAUGCUAAUAAUCCACAGUGAAAAGAGCCAACAAAUUAGUUUUGUUUGAAAACUGAGACUCUAACCAAAUGGAAGAUUCGCGAAAAUUAUGGGACAGAUUCAAUUUUUAUAAAAACAAGUUUCUACAGACCUAUUCCUCGAAUUUGUGAUGGCUUAAAAUUGUUCAUAUUUAGGAUUUGAGGUUUUCAUGGCGGUGAGUCUGAAGAUGGCUGUCUUUUUGUUCACAUUCAUUUCCGCAGCCUUCAGAAUCCCUUUCUUAUCCCAUUGGGUUUCGAAAAAGAAGUCAUCAUACUUUGUAUAAGUCGAAACAAGUCCCAAAAGCAUUCAGAAAGUUUCGAGAACCGGACGUGUAUCAAUAAAUACCAUAGCAACAGAUCAAUACACUGAAGCCUCGAUUCUUAAUACUGACAAAAAUUUAUUUCUGGUUGUGUUAAUGUAUAGACAGAAACAGAGUAACAGAAAUACAAUAUAAUAAGAACAAUAUUAUAGAAAUAAGACAGCCACGUACAAUACAUUCAUAUAACAAAAAAUAAAAAGUCUUAAUAUGGAAAUUUACUGUUCUAGGGAUGAACGUAUAGACUACGUAUUGAGUUGCCUUUGUCGGAAAGCGAUCAGACAGGAGCUGAAUAAAAAUAUAAACUUUGUAAACACCAAAAUAAAUACAGCUUUCGUGUUUCAUUAAAAUACAAUCACUUUCUCCCAGUGCACGUA